GACGAACGCUGGCGGCGUGCUUAACACAUGCAAGUCGAACGAUGAUGCCCAGCUUGCUGGGUGGAUUAGUGGCGAACGGGUGAGUAACACGUGAGUAACCUGCCCCUGACUCUGGGAUAAGCGUUGGAAACGACGUCUAAUACUGGAUAUGACUGCCGGCCGCAUGGCCUGGUGGGGGAAAGAUUUUUUGGUUGGGGAUGGACGCGCGGCCUAUCAGCUUGUUGGUGAGGUAAUGGCUCGCCAAGGCGACGACGGGUAGCCGGCCUGAGAGGGUGACCGGCCACACUGGGACUGAGACACGGCCUAGACUCCUACGGGAGGCAGCAGUGGGGAAUAUUGCACAAUGGGCGAAAGCCUGAUGCAGCAACGCCGCGUGAGGGAUGACGGCCUUCGGGUUGUAAACCUCUUUUAGUAGGGAAGAAGCGAAAGUGACGGUACCUGCAGAAAAAGCACCGGCUAACUACGUGCCAGCCGCCGCCGUAA
rnacentral:rRNA from 1 species